GAUUUUCGUCUAUUGAGUUUAAUUUUAUGUAACAAUCUUUUCUGCCUAAUUUGGUUUAAAUUAAAUGUUUUCUAUCACUUUUUAUGGCGUUGAUGUAUUUCUCUUUCAACGUUCUGGUGAUGCAUGUUUUACAUCUUCAGUGAUUUUUCGUUUAUACGAAUGAGCAAGCGGUGAUUCGAGAAAUUUUGCUAAACCCUCUUCAAGUUUUUUUCCGGUUUUUCAACGAUCUGGUAAAAUAAUGAUAAAUUAGUUUGAAACCAUCAUUUCCCUGUGCUAGCCUUACUGUUUGAAAUUGCACAUUAUUUUGAAUGUCAAAAAUGAUUUUAUAAAAUUUAAAAGUGUUAUACAGCAAUCAGAGUUCAAAUUUUCAUCCCAAAUCAAGUCUUGAAUUAAAUUUUUGAACUAACCUAUGAGCUGUUUGUAAAAAUCACCAAAUGAAUUUUACCCAUUUUGUUUUAACACCAUGCAUGGCACUAGCUUUUGAUAUAUAUACACAUAUGUAUUUCGUCCAUUUAAAUUGUUUCAAGCAGUACCAGUUUUGUUUAAUUUACUCAAGUUUAAAUUUUAAUAUUAAUCUUUGAUUCACGUAUUUUCCCUCUUGUCCUUCUCUGUUUUACCCAUCUAGCUUCUCAUAAACUUUAUGUUUAAAAUGAAAUAACGUGUCAUGCAUCGAGCUAGUGCUAAUGGCUCCUAGUUUAUGGUUUGAUGAUUACCAUUUUCUUCAAAAAUUGCAUCUGAUGCUACUGCUCCACUUAUGCUUAUUUUAUAAUUGAUAUGGUUGGUCUUUUUCUUCAUUUUAUAAUUUCAUAUUUGAUUGAUACAUUUCGAACUUAAUAAUUUUUGGCAUAAAGGAAAUGAAAUGAAACCAUACCAAUGGAUUUUGGGUUAGUUGCGUGAGUGAUUUCGGUAAAACCAUAAACCAUUUGUUCGGUUUGAUCUGUUUGGCCCUUCAUAUUAAUGUUGUGUCACCGUUAUUGAUUUGGAUAUUCAUAUUACGAUCUGGACAUUUACUGUGUGACCAUUUCUUUAUAAAAUUAUGCUUUAUUUCUCUGAACUUUCAUUCCAUUCUCUUAUAAACUAAAUGCAUGAAUCUCGGAUUUCUGGACUGUUAUAGCGUCAUUGCUUAUAGAUUGAAUUAACGAGAUUUGAACUCAGAGUUUCGCUUUCACCUUGGGUUUCACUUGGAUUUACCUUAAGAGAUUUAUUGAGCAUGUUUUGGAAGGAUCUUGGAAGGCUACAGGUGAAUUUGUUAGGCCCAUAGGGGCAUCCCACAAAUGUGGCUACCCGCGGAAGACCGUCCGGGACGGUGGCUGAUAUCCUGACUAUCCUAACAUUAGAGACUGGUCCUCACAAGUAACAUACAGUACGAAGCAAGGUUGAGGCAGUAAGCUUGAGAAGAGCUUGCGGCCGGGAGCUUGAGCAAAAGUUGGUAUUUUGCUUGUCUAUAAUGUAUAUAUCACGGGAUGCCUCCGAAGACUAUGAAGCUUAAAGGUGUGGCUUCAGCAAGAAAUGGUGGAGCCAAGAAUAUCAUUAUGGUAAAACAUCUGAAAUCAUGUUGUGAGCACUUAGCACAAACUGCACAGACCAUAGUUUGUGCCGUUGCGCACCAGAGUCAGUUGCGACCUAGUAGUGCUAUGGACUUGAAGGAAUUUAGGAAAGUGAUUGGUGAUCGAGAGUUUAAUGGUAUGGAAGAACAUAUAGGAGCUGACAGGUGGUUAAUGAGUAUGAAAAAGGAGUUCGACGCACAUGUAGUAGAUGGGGAAGAUAGAGUACGCUUUGCUACGUAUAUGUUUCAAGGAAAUGCAGAUGAUUGGUUGGAUUCAGAGAAGCGAAUGAAAAAUGUGAUGGAUAUGUCAUGGGAACAGUUUGAAAAUUUAUUCCUUGACAAAUAUUUUCCGCCUACAGCAAGAUCUUUGAAGUGUGCCGAGUUUGCAGUGUUGAAGCAAGGAGAUAUGACGGUCACACAACUAGAUAAGAAAUGUUUUGAGCUAGAGAGUUACGGGAAACACUUAGUCGAAACGACAGAGCUGAGGGCUCGAAAAAUUUAGGGUGCUUUGAAGGCUGUGAUUCGUGAUAGAGUUGUCGUAGUUGGACUGAAGACAUACAAGGAGGUUUUUAAUUCUGCAUUGGCGGUUGAGGCUAGCUUGAUGCAAAGUCAGAAAGAGAGACAAGAGCGAGACCAAAAGAAGAAGACUAAGGAGCGAGAUAGAAAUUCAUCACCACAACGGAAGCGCCCACGAAAUGACAAUGCAACCAGGAGAGGCAAGAGGACUGAAUGUUACCGUUACGGAGAAGAUGGCCAUUAUGCUAGAGACCGCCCCUUACCCGCAGAUCAGAGACCGCCCCUUCCCGCAGAUCAGAAGCCGCAAAUUGUGAACCAAACUCCCAAUCAAAAUGCUCGAAGGCAUAACUUCGAUGGGAAGCAACAACAUUAUCCACGAGGAAAUGCUACUCCAUUCCAGUCAAGACAACGUCAGCCCAACACAGAAGGAAUUAUUCAAGGGAAGUUGAACCAUUUCGUCGAGACUAAAGAGGAAGCGGAGGACCCUGUGGUCAAAGGUAAUCCUCAUUGCUCUUAGUUUGGUUUUGAAUUUCAGGAGAAAUUCUUUUUUUAGGGGUUGAUGGUGUAACACCACUAAAAAUCUCUACUCGGAUCCGAAACGGAACUCAACCCAUUUUACUGGAAAGCUAGGACAAGAGCGCGCGUGCAAUCCUAAUGUAGGGUGUGUAUAUCCCUGAUGAGUGCCUUAAUCCAGUACGAGUAGUUUCUUCUUUUAAGGACUAGGUUGUCCCUUGGAAAUAUUAGGGUGCUUGUUUAGCAAAGGCAAUGAAAUUAUCUAGAAACACUGAGCAUGGUUAACACCUGUUUAAGAGAGAUUAAAGAAUUUUUUUUCUUUUUCUUUCUCUUUUCCUUCAAAACUCAAAUGCCAGCCUUUCUUUUUGUUAUCCACUUUCUUGUUUAUUCCGUUCGAUUUACUGAGACCAGACGAAGGAAAAUUUGAUUCUUGCUUUGAGAUUUUGUUGAUCCAUUCUUGGAACACCGAUUACAAUUCAAGUAGGGUAUUUUCGUCUAUUGAGUUUAAUUUUAUGUAACAAUCUUUUCUGCCUAAUUUGGUUUAAAUUAAAUGUUUUCUAUCACCUUUUAUGGAGUUGAUGUAUUUCUCUUUCAAUGUUCUGGUGAUGCAUGUUUUACAUCUUCAAGGAUUUUUCGUUUAUACGAGUGAGCAAACGGUGAUUCGAGAAAUUUUGCUAAACCCUCUUCAAGUUUUUUCCUGUUUUUUUCAACGAUCUGGUAAAAUAAUGAUAAAUUAGUUUGAAACCAUCAUUUCCCUGUGCUAGCCUUACUGUUUGAAAUUGCACAUUAUUUUGAAUGCCAAAAAUGAUUUUAUAAAAUUUAAAAGUGUUAUACAGCAAUCAGAGUUCAAAUUUUCAUCUCAAAUCAAGUUUUGAAUUAAAUUUUUGAACUAACCUAUGAGUUGUUUGUAAAAAUCACCAAAUGAAUUUUACCCAUUUUGUUUUAACACCAUGCAUGGCACUAGCUUUUAAUAUAUAUACACAUAUGUAUUUCGUCCAUUUAAAUUGUUUCAAGCAGUACCAGUUUUGUUUAAUUUACUCAAGUUUAAAUUUUGAUAUUAAUCUUUGAUUCACGUAUUUUCCCUCUUGUCCUUCUCUGUUUUACCCAUCUAGCUUCUCAUAAACUUUAUGUUUAAAAUGAAAUAACGUGUCAUGCAUCGAGCUAGUGCUAAUGGCUCCUAGUUUAUGGUUUGAUGAUUACCAUUUUCUUCAAAAAUUGCAUCUGAUGCUACUGCUCCACUUAUGCUUAUUUUAUAAUUGAUAUGGUUGGUCUUUUUCUUCAGUUUAUAAUUUCAUAUUUGAUUGAUACAUUUCGAACUUAAUAAUUUUUGGCAUAAAGGAAAUGAAAUGAAACCAAUGGAUUUUGGCUUAGUUGCGUGAGUGAUUUCGGUAAAGCCAUAAACCAUUUGUUCGGUUUGAUCUGUUUGGCCCUUCAUAUUAAUGUUUUGUCACCGUUAUUGAUUUGGAUAUUCAUUUUACGAUUUGGACAUUUACUGUGUGACCAUUUCUUUAUAAAAUUAUGCUUUAUUUCUCUGAACUUUCAUUCCAUUCUCUUAUAAACUAAAUGCAUGAAUCUCGGAUUUCUGGAUUGUUAUAGCGUCAUUGCUUAUAGAUUGAAUUAACGAGAUUUGAACUCAGAGUUUCGCUUUCACCUUGGGUUUCACUUGGAUUUACCUUAAGAGAUUUAUUGAGCAUGUUUUGGAAGGAUCUUGGAAGGCUACAGGUGAAUUUGUUAGGCCCAUAGGGGCAUCCCACAAAUGUGGCUACCCGCGGAAGACCGUCCGGGACGGUGGCUGAUAUCCUGACUAUCCUAACAUUAGAGACUGGUCCUCACAAGUAACAUACAGUACGAAGCAAGGUUGAGGCAGUAAGCUUGAGAAGAGCUUGCGGCCGGGAGCUUGAGCAAAAGUUGGUAUUUUGCUUGUCUAUAAUGUAUAUAUCACGGGGUAAUCUGGGUAGUUUAUUUUGUUGUUGUUCCAUGUCAUUUUGAUGUAUUUUUGUUGUAUAUAUGAUGGGAACUGGUAGAAAGUCUUUGUGUGGUUUGUAAGGAAAAACUUCGUCAUGCCGCAAAAGAUAGGUCUAAUUUUGGUGCAUAAUGGUAAACUCAUUUUGCUGUAAUGGGACCUCCUUACGUAUAUAUCUUAACACCUUUGGACUUCUACUUAUAUAAUACAAAGUCAUGGCUGGUGUCCCUUUCAUCUUUA